GCCCGUUUGGCGCAAUGGUAGCGCGUCGCCCUCCUAAGGCGAAGGCUGCGGGUUCGAUCCCCGUGAUGGGUG